rnacentral:rRNA from 1 species
GAUGAACGCUGGCGGCGUGCCUAAUACAUGCAAGUCGAGCGAACAGACGAGGAGCUUGCUCCUCUGACGUUAGCGGCGGACGGGUGAGUAACACGUGGAUAACCUACCUAUAAGACUGGGAUAACUUCGGGAAACCGGAGCUAAUACCGGAUAAUAUAUUGAACCGCAUGGUUCAAUAGUGAAAGACGGGUUUGCUGUCACUUAUAGAUGGAUCCGCGCCGCAUUAGCUAGUUGGUAAGGUAACGGCUUACCAAGGCAACGAUGCGUAGCCGACCUGAGAGCGUGAUCGGCCACACUGGAACUGAGACACGGUCCAGACUCCUACGGGAGGCAGCAGUAGGGAAUCUUCCGCAAUGGGCGAAAGCCUGACGGAGCAACGCCGCGUGAGUGCUGAAGGUCUUCGGAUCGUAAAACUCUGUUAUUAGGGAAGAACAAAUGUGUAAGUAACUAUGCACGUCUUGACGGUACCUAAUCAGAAAGCCCCGGCUAACUACGUG